rnacentral:misc_RNA from 1 species
GUUGGUGAACCAGCGGAGGGAUCAUUACAGAGUUGUAAAACUCCUAAACCCAUGUGAACAUACCUCUGUUGCCUCGGUGGCCUACCCUGUAGUCCACCGAAGGAUUAAAAAACUCUUUUAUUAUUGUAUCUCUGAGACAAAAACAAAUAAGUUAAAACUUUCAACAACGGAUCUCUUGGUUCUGGCAUCGAUGAAGAACGCAGCAUCUGACUGACUGAACUGUAU